CCCAUAUCUAAUUCGCGACAGCUGGUAAAAUGCUUUACUCACCGGUUGCUGCAGUUUCCGACGCUUGUAGUCGCGUAGCACCUGUUCAUCAUCCAGGCCUGGCCGGCGCUUGAAGAAGCUGUCGCUCCUCGUCAAUUAUGGCGAUCUGUGCAGCCUCCUCGUCCUGCUCGUCGGCACUGAUGUCGCCGGGC